AAUUACUUAUUUGGGCAUUUUCCCCUCAGAGGCUACUCUCCUAAAAAAUCUGUUUUGUGGUAUGGCAUCUUAAAUUUAUAUCUACUCUGUUCUGUGGAAGUCCUAUCUCAUUCUUGGCACCCCACAGAGUUUCAGGAAUGUCCGAAACCUCAGAAAAGAACAAUUGGAAUCAUUCUUUUGCUGAGACAACGCGGAACAGCAAGCUGAGCGGAGGAGGGCGCCCUCGACGCCACUAGAUGGCGGAAGAGAACGAGCUGCGCCCAGACCGCGGAGAUGGCUUCUGCUGGCAACAUAGAUUUUUAAGUCAGAACGCACCUCGAUGGAAUUGUUUCAUCAUUAUCAGCAUUUCCAGGAUCACAUCAUCUGACCCCCCACUGCGUUCAGAGUCUGAUGUUAGGUAAUCCAAGCACUUACUCGAAAAGAGAUUCAUCCGAGAGGGGAAUAAUUAGGUUUACAAGGCAAAUGAGAGCAUUAACGGAAUCCUCAUUUUCAAGACCUGUAGCAAGGAAAUGUUGAAGGAACCUUGGGGAUAAUACCUUGAAUUCAAUCCUCUGAUUUUACAGCUUUUAAGUGGAAGUACAUUUCCCACAAGGAAGAGGAAGUUUUAGGUGGCAAAACACAGUUUCACAAAAAGCCUUCAUGUCAAGAAUUCGACUGUGAAAUAGCUUGCUUGCCACAAUUGUUCUUGUUGUUAUUUGUUUUUUCUUAAGACAAUGACUAUUUCUUUAAUAAUAGAUAAAUAAAACAAACAUGCACUGGC